rnacentral:rRNA from 1 species
UACAGAGGUCGUCAAGCGUUGUUCGGAAUUACUGGGCGUAAAGGGCUCGUAGGCGGCCAACUAAGUCCGACGUGAAAUCCCCAGGCUUAACCUGGGAACUGCGUCGGAUACUGGAUGGCUUGAAUUCGGGAGAGGGAUGGCAGGAAUUCCAGGUGUAGCGGUGAAAUGCGUAGAUAUCUGGAGGAAUACCGGUGGCGAAGGCGGCGAUCCUGGACCGACAUUGACGCUGAGGAGCGAAAGCUAGGGGAGCAAACGGG